CACCACAUAGCCUUUGGGAACAAUGAUAUCCCAACUGCUGAUGUUAUUGUUGGGGUAUGGCUUGGGAUAAUUUGGGGAUCUGAUCUCCCCAAAUAACUUUCUCGGGACUGGACCGGAACUGAUCACUCCAGUAAAGAGGGUGGCCCACAGGAGAAAAGGAGUGUGCAUCUCCAUACGCUCGGCCGCGGUGCCCGCUGCCCUCUCUCUGCCCGCUCCGUCCCAGCCCGAGCUGCCC
rnacentral:lncRNA from 1 species